UGGAAGCGUCUGGAAAGGCGCGCGAUACAGGGUGACAGCCCCGUACACAAAAAUGCACAUGCUGUGAGCUCGAUGAGUAGGGCGGGACACGUGGUAUCCUGUCUGAAUAUGGGGGGACCAUCCUCCAAGGCUAAAUACUCCUGACUGACCGAUAGUGAACCAGUACCGUGAGGGAAAGGCGAAAAGAACCCCGGCGAGGGGAGUGAAAAAGAACCUGAAACCGUGUACGUACAAGCAGUGGGAGCCUCUUUUAUGGGGUGACUGCGUACCUUUUGUAUAAUGGGUCAGCGACUUAUAUUCUGUAGCAAGGUUAACCGAAUAGGGGAGCCGAAGGGAAACCGAGUCUUAACUGGGCGUUAAGUUGCAGGGUAUAGACCCGAAACCCGGUGAUCUAGCCAUGGGCAGGUUGAAGGUUGGGUAACACUAACUGGAGGACCGAACCGACUAAUGUUGAAAAAUUAGCGGAUGACUUGUGGCUGGGGGUGAAAGGCCAAUCAAACCGGGAGAUAGCUGGUUCUCCCCGAAAGCUAUUUAGGUAGCGCCUCGUGAAUUCAUCUCCGGGGGUAGAGCACUGUUUCGGCAAGGGGGUCAUCCCGACUUACCAACCCGAUGCAAACUGCGAAUACCGGAGAAUGUUAUCACGGGAGACACACGGCGGGUGCUAACGUCCGUCGUGAAGAGGGAAACAACCCAGACCGCCAGCUAAGGUCCCAAAGUCAUGGUUAAGUGGGAAACGAUGUGGGAAGGCCCAGACAGCCAGGAUGUUGGCUUAGAAGCAGCCAUCAUUUAAAGAAAGCGUAAUAGCUCACUGGUCGAGUCGGCCUGCGCGGAAGAUGUAACGGGGCUAAACCAUGCAC
rnacentral:rRNA from 1 species